rnacentral:tRNA from 1 species
GGCGCGGUAGGCAACAGGACGACCAUGUUGACUCAGACUCAGCAAUGCUCUCGGUUCGAAUCCGAGUCGCGCUAC